rnacentral:rRNA from 1 species
UACGUAGGGUGCAGGCGUUACUCGGAAUUACUGGGCGUAAAGCGUGCGCAGGCGGUUUGCUACGACCGGCGUGAAAUCCCCGGGCUUAACCUGGGAACUGCGCUUGUUACUGGCAGGCUUGAGUGUGGCAGAGGGGGGUGGAAUUCCACGUGUAGCAGUGAAAUGCGUAGAGAUGUGGAGGAACACCGAUGGCGAAGGCAGCCCCCUGGGCUAACACUGACGCUCAUGCACGAAAGCGUGGGGAGCAAACAGG